rnacentral:rRNA from 1 species
GGAUUAGAAACCCGGGUAGUCCACGCCGUAAACGAUGUGUGCUUGUCGCUGGGGAGUUCACUCUUCGGUGACGUAGCUAACGCGUUAAGCACACCGCCUGGGAAGUACGGCCGCAAGGUUAAAACUCAAAGGAAUUGACGGGGACCCGCACAAGCGGUGGAGUAUGUGGUUUAAUUCGUCGCAACGCGAAGAACCUUACCAGGCCUUGACAUGCCCUCUAUGAUUUCCAGAGAUGGAUUUCUUCACUUCGGGUGGAGGAGCACAGGUGCUGCAUGGCUGUCGUCAGCUCGUGUCGUGAGAUGUUGGGUUAAGUCCCG